rnacentral:tRNA from 1 species
GGAGAGAUGCUGGAGCGACUGACCGAACCUGUCCCGAAAACGGGAGUAGGGCAACGCUACCGGGGGUUCAAAUCCCCCGUCUCUCUA